AAAAAAUUCGGUUUCGCAUUUUUCAAAAUUCCUUUCGGUUUUCUAUUUUUCGUUAUUCAAAAUUUUUAACUCUCUUGGUUUGAAAAAUGUUUCCUAGAAAAAAUAUAAAUCAACUUCCUCAUUCUAAACAGGCGGAAUUGUACCCACAUAGAAGACAAACAGAAUACUAUAAGCAACUUAAUCCACCCAGCACUCAUCAAAGUAAAAUGCCUGAGCAUUCGUUUGAUAUGUUAAAUUCAAGGACUAUAAUUCAAACACUCCCCAUAAACCCAGAUCGCAUUGUACCCGCAUCUAAUUAUCAAACGGAAAUAGUCAGAAAUAAUUACUUUGGUUAGAUCUGCUUUAUGUUAUGGACGAGUAAUCCUGAAGGGCAUUUAGACACCACCAGAGAUGCUCAUAAAUAUAACUUUUUAAUGCAUGAUUGGAACUAUCCAAGUCGACAGUGUGAAUUGUUCCAAAAUUCAAAGAGCAUUCUUCGAUUUUGAAAUAUGUUAAUUUAUUGGUUAACUUUCGUGCUGAUAUCAAAUCCAUCCAGAAUUGUGUUUCGAUUUCGGUGAUAUGCUCAUAUGUCAAGUUGUGAUGAGAGUUACGGAAGAAGUUCUUGAAAAUAUUUCAAAGAUAAAAGUGACACAACCGGCUUUACAACAAAGUCUAGUAAAAUCAUAAUAAAAUAUAAAUUAAAGUCGUCUGGCUAUGUCAUAAUUUUUACUGAGUAUUAUAAACAAUUUUAUGACACUAAUCAACAUAUCUUUACUCGAGUGUAACUCACUUCUUCAAUAAAUAAAACGAAACGAAACAUAGGUAUGGUGAUUUUUUAUGAUUGAUUGGAGAUAUCAUUGAGGACUAUUCAUACUCAAUUUUGGGGACGUGGACGAAUCUCUUUGAUAGUAUGAUUAGUUUUUGGAAAGAGUUGAGAAAAAAGAACAAAGAACAGAUUAAAUGGAGGAAACACAGAAAUUUAGAAAAAUUAAAUGGAAAUAUGUUAAUUUAAAUUUGAAUG